rnacentral:antisense_RNA from 1 species
CAGGGACUUUUCCCUGGGACACAAGUUUCCCAGGCUCAGGGAGAGGAAGCUCCUCUGCAGGAGGAGCUCCCUAGAGUCCCUCUUCCUUCCUUCCUCCUCUGUCUCCUUCCAGCUCCUCUGACGGCAGCCCAACCUGAGGAUGCAGGAGGCAGGGCCCCAGGUCAAGAAGGCCCGCCGAGGCUGGCCGUGGGCCUCAGAGCCAGCUCCUGCCCCAGCAUCCUGGAUCCACCUGGAAAGCUGGGGACCAGCCUCCCAGGCCCGGGUGCCAAUUCCAGCCUCCGAGAGGGCCGCACCAGUCCAUCCCGACCAAGGCUUCCCCAGAGCCCAGAGCAUCAACAGGCCAGCGCGUGCACCGCCACAUGGCCGUCCUGCAGGGCCGUAGAGCUCCCCGCUUCUGACUCCCUAUCGGGCUGGGGGACUUGGCUCUCCACCCCACCCCCCUACAAGCCCAAUAAAGGGUUAAAGGGGCCGGCCAGGAGGUCCCUGGGCCUGCUGGAGUGGAGAUCCAGGCUAGCCUGCUCCAGCCUUUUGAGGACCGGCCAGGGCUGCUCCGGUCAAGCCCUCCUCUC